rnacentral:tRNA from 1 species
UCCCAGGUGGCUCAGUGGUAAAGAAUCUACCUGCCAAUGUAGAAGAUGCAGGUUCAAUCCCUGUGUUGGGAA